rnacentral:lncRNA from 1 species
AUGCAGCAAGAAGCAGAGAGAUGCAGAGUUCGAGCCAGGAGGCCUGACAUGGCACUUUAUGUUCCCAAAGCUCGAAGGGGCAUAGUACUACUCAGAUCAGGUGAUGAGGGAAAAAGCUGUGAUCCACCGGACUCCGUGGUGAAAGAACAAAGGGAAGAUUCUCUCUCCCAAAAGGAGAUCUUUCGAGACAAAUGCGAGACUCCAAGACUGAGUACUAAUCCUGAUAAAAAGGAGCACAGUCGUAGAGAAGGAAAGAAAUCUUCAACGAAAUUUAAAAAAGAUACAUGCCUUCAAGAAAGAAAGAAAGAUAGGGUUUGUACUAAGAGGGCAACUGCAGAAUCCAAAGAAGUAUUGUCCCAAGGACAUCAACAAAGAGUCUUGAAUACUGGGGUUGUACCUAGCAUACCUUUACAAAGACAUUUUAAACCAAAGAAGGUAGGCUGUUCGGAGGUUGAAACCAGAGACUUGAGAGAACACGAUGGGUUGCUUCUCUCCCAGUCUUGUUCAGAAAUCAGUAAGGCUCUGGUUCCAGACAAGCCAUCCAGAAACGUGGAAGUCUCUGAUACCAAGAGAAAUGAACUAAAUGGGGAAAUAUUUGAAGAUAGAAAUUUGGAAAACAGAAUGGAAACUGAUGCCGAGAUUAUGAAGAUACUACCCCAGUUUCCUGGAGAUUUUAAUUCUGUGGUGAAACCUGAGAGUGUGAUCUCACCAGUAAAACGAAACUCUGAUUCUGGGAUUGUACAACAGGGCAUGCAAACAUUAGGUGGAAUGCUAAAGCACAGCCAUGGCGCCCUCACUACUGAUUCUGUUCCUGGAAGUUCAGAUGGUAUCAUUGGUCAGGCUUACGUGGACUUGGAUGCUGAGAAUGUUGGUGAUACAGCCAACAGGACAGAUUGCAUAGCGAGUCAGAAAGGUAUGGAUUCCAUUCCUGAGACUGUGGGUCACCUCUCUCAAUUAGAGAGUGCAAAUGACAUUUCUCAUCCAAAAACGAUUAGAGAGUGUGAAGAGAAUGACAACACUGCUGAUGAGUUAUGUGUAAAGCACGAAUCUUCUGACACAGCUGCCCUUGCUCAUGAAACAUAUACAGAUAAUGAGUCCGAGAGUAUAUGUGACAUUACCAAUAAGACAUGUGCAGUGGACAUUACAGAUACCAUAUCUGAUCAAAUAUCUGUAGGCAUCCCUUGUGUAGUUGCAGUUAAAGUAGCUGAUGAGGCUUGUAGCAACACAGGGAGUUUCUCAGACUGUUUAGAAAUGAAUGCAGAUACAGCCCUUCAUGCAGCUAAAAGUGGGAAUGACACUGAAAAUUUCAGUAACCUGACUGCUUGCUCAGCUAUCUAUGCUGAGAGUAUUUCAUCUAGUUUCACAGAGUCAACAGGAAAGUUGAUAGAGAGCUUGUCCGAUUGUGCUUCCUCCUUACCUAUAAAGAAGAUAACUGGUAGUAAUUGUAACACUUUUUUGGACUCUGAAUUCAGUAUGUUAAAUGGGACAAACGUAUUUUCAGAUAGUGCCUUGGGCAGUGACCUUGAUGGUACUGGUGAUAUAACAGAGGCAUUGCAUGAACUUAAGACUGCUGAAGAGUUCAAAACAAAAGAAGAUGGCGACUCAGAGAAUGUGGAAUUUGGUGUAUCCUUUCCUGAUAUAGAAUCAGUAUCUAAGGAAACAUCCGUGGAGCCUAAAGCAACGGAUAUAUCUCACACAGAAAGAAGUGCUGCUACUGAGGAGAGCUGGGAGUCUAUGUUCAAUGAUGAUGGUGAGUGCCUGGACCCACGUCUUCUAGAAGAGUUGUCAGGGAAUAUGAAGAACAAAGAAAGUAUCCAAGAACCUAGAUUUGAUUAUUACAACCAUGAAGUUCCUGAUAUUGACCUCAGUGAUUGUGAAUUCCCACAUGUCAUUGAAAUUUAUGACUUCCCCCAAGAAUUUCGUACUGAAGAUCUCCUACGGAUUUUCUGCACUUAUCAAAAGAAAGGAUUUGAUAUUAAAUGGGUGGACGAUACACAUGCCCUAGGAGUAUUCUCCAGUCCGAUUACAGCACGUGAUGCUCUUGGUAGUAAACAUACCAUGGUGAAGAUCCGGCCCUUGUCACAGGCCACAAGAGCAGCCAAGGCCAAAGCUAGAGCUUAUGCUGAGUUUCUGCAGCCAGCAAAGGAGCGUCCUGAGACUUCAGCAGCCCUAGCCAGAAGGCUAGUCAUCAGUGCCCUUGGGGUUCGAAGUAAGCAGAGCAAAACUGAACGGGAAGCAGAGCUUAAGAAACUGCGAGAAGCCCGAGAGAGAAAACGAUUGGAAGCCAAGCAACGGGAAGCCAUCUGGGAAGGCAGAGACCAGUCUGCAGUUUGA